CCUACGGGGGGCAGCAGUGGGGAAUAUUGGACAAUGGGGGGAACCCUGAUCCAGCCAUGCCGCGUGUGUGAAGAAGGCCCUCGGGUUGUAAAGCACUUUCAGUGAGGAAGAACGCCUGGUGGUUAAUACCCAUCAGGAAAGACAUCACUCACAGAAGAAGCACCGGCUAACUCCGUGCCAGCAGCCGCGGUAAUACGGAGGGUGCGAGCGUUAAUCGGAAUUACUGGGCGUAAAGCGCGCGUAGGUGGCUUGAUAAGCCGGUUGUGAAAGCCCCGGGCUCAACCUGGGAACGGCAUCCGGAACUGUCAAGCUAGAGUGCAGGAGAGGAAGGUAGAAUUCCCGGUGUAGCGGUGAAAUGCGUAGAGAUCGGGAGGAAUACCAGUGGCGAAGGCGGCCUUCUGGACUGACACUGACACUGAGGUGCGAAAGCGUGGGUAGCAAACAGGAUUAAUACCCUGGUAGUC
rnacentral:rRNA from 1 species